rnacentral:rRNA from 1 species
GUGUCAGCAGCCGCGGUAAUACGGAGGGUGCGAGCGUUGUUCGGAAUCAUUGGGCGUAAAGGGCGUGUAGGUGGUCUGUUAAGUCAUGUGUGAAAGCCCCCGGCUCAACCGGGGAAGUGCGCAUGAAACUGACAAGCUAGAGUACCGAAGAGGAGGGUGGAAUUCCAGGUGUAGCGGUGAAAUGCGUAGAUAUCUGGAGGAACACCGGUGGCGAAGGCGGCCCUCUGGUCGGAUACUGACGCUAAAACGCGAAAGCGUGGGGAGCAAACAGGAUUAGAAACCCGAGUAGUCC